UACAGAGGUCUCAAGCGUUGUUCGGAUUCAUUGGGCGUAAAGGGUGUGUAGGUGGCGCGCUAAGUCGGGGUGUGAAAUUUCGGAGCUUAACUCCGAAACUGCAUUCGAUACUGGCGUGCUUGAGGACUGGAGAGGAGACUGGAAUUUACGGUGUAGCAGUGAAAUGCGUAGAUAUCGUAAGGAAGACCAGUGGCGAAGGCGGGUCUCUGGACAGUUCCUGACACUGAGACACGAAGGCCAGGGGAGCAAACGGG
rnacentral:rRNA from 1 species